AUGGAGUUCCUGAUGCAACCUGUAGACGGAUCUAACUUCCUGGAGGAAGUUGGGGAGAGUUUGGUGCCGGCACCGGAGCGGGCGGAUGCGCUCGAUGUGAAGAUGGUGGCGGCGCAUGUGAUGGAAGGACAUCAGUUGGCGGUUGAGGUUCAGCCGGCAGCUACAGGGGAGGCGCAGAUGUUGAUGCUCAGUGAAGGAGCGCAGGACAGGAGGGACGUGUCUCCACCAAGCUCGGAGCUAUCUACUGGGAAGAUGAACCAACGAGCUCCUGGAUGGAAUAAGAGGUUGAGGAUCGGUGCCGCUGCACCAAGUCGGCCACCUUGCCCAAACCGUGUCACUGCAUUUGAGAAGGCUGUUCGAAACUAUGCUGAGAAUCCAGGAGACAAUGUGAUCACACCGACUAUUGGCACGACCUUUGAUUCUGUAGGAGAGGCGUAUGACUUUUACAAUUUGUAUUCAUGGGAAAAGGGUUUGGUAUCAGAUAUGGCAAGAGUCGGCUAA
rnacentral:rRNA from 1 species